CCUUAACCCUACCCACUCUUCCGCCGCAUCCAGCCUACCCCACAUGUUAUCUACCCAAAAUUUCCCCAAUACAGGCAGGAUUGAUCAACCAACCAUCAUCUGCUACACCUAUGGCGCUAUCUAAGAGAUAGAUGAUGGUGUCGCUCGUCAUCGUCUCCCACGAUUACUAUCGUCUUCCACGAUUACUAUCGUCUUCUUCACUUGCUAUGGUGAGUCUUCCGCCUCUAGAAUCAAUAUUUUUUUUGGAAAGCGCCGUUUGGUGUGGCCUUCAUAGGAGGCUAGGUGCGGGACGUGGGAUCGAACCCCCACCAAGUGACUCCUCCCUUGGAGCCUUCACCACUGGUCCAAGCACAUCUAGAUCUGAUCUAUUGUUUUCCCAUAGUCCUUUAAUUUCUGUGUACUCCACCAGAUCAAAGCUAGAAACGCCAUAUCUUCCUUAUUUGGAAAAUAAAUCUUGCGGUAGAGAAAUAGGAACAUCUUAAUUUCAAUAAAUUGUGUAUGCUAACAAAUUUCUCUUUCCAUCUGAUAUCUGUAGGGGAUUUGUGCAUGUAUAAAAGUUUGAAACAUGUGGAGGACAUAGAAGUCGCUAGAUAUAAAGUUAUUAGAGCUACAUACACUGCAAGAGGGCAUCUUUCAAGUAUUUAGAACCUGGCUCAACUUAUGAAUGGACGCCAGACAAGGUAUUUAGGUGGGGUGCAUGUCAUAAAGUGUGUAAAUUUUGGAGAACAUGAAUGCUAGAAGUCAGAUUUGAAGAUAAUAAUGGGGCUGCAUACCUUG
rnacentral:lncRNA from 1 species